CCAAAAAGUUCAACAUCCCAACCUUGGACUUGAAAGUGUUUGAUGACUCAAAGACAGAAGUUGAUGAGCAGGUUUUUGAUCUCCUGUUGAAAAACCCAAACCUUGGUGUGUUGGAAAUUUGUCUGGCCGAAGAUUCAAAUCCAGAAGGAUAGUGUGGGGAACAAAACACGGGCAAAUAAAUCAGCCGAGUUGUCCUGCGAAGAGCUGCAAUACCAGUUCAAGUGGAGAUACUGAAGUGGAUUCAGUUGACACAAUACUAUUACAACACAGUCCUACAACAAGACGAAGAGUUGAAGACACCUCUCUGGCCAAAGUGGUUGCUGUCAUUGGUGAGGAUGCAUCAUCCGUUGAAGGUCAUGUGAAUGUCCUGCAUAUCCAGUACAGCAAGGUGCGAGAGGAUAUACUAAAGAAGUACCCUUUCUUGAAGACAACCUCAGGGUUGUUUGAUGUUGACCGAAUGCAUCCAUCACCUGUCAGUUUAAGCCAGC